UACGAAGGGGGCUAGCGUUGUUCGGAAUUACUGGGCGUAAAGCGUACGUAGGCGGAUUGUUAAGUGAGGGGUGAAAUCCCGAGGCUCAACCUCGGAACUGCCUUUCAUACUGGCAAUCUUGAGUCCGGGAGAGGUGAGUGGAACUCCUAGUGUAGAGGUGAAAUUCGUAGAUAUUCGGAAGAACACCAGUGGCGAAGGCGGCUCACUGGCCUGGUAUUGACGCUGAGGUGCGAAAGCGUGGGGAGCAAACAGG
rnacentral:rRNA from 1 species